rnacentral:misc_RNA from 1 species
GUGAAUCAUCAAAUUUUUGAACGCAAAUUGCACUCUCUUCGGAGAGUAUGCCUGUUUGAGGGUCAGCCUAAAAAAAAUCGACAUCGUUGCUGUUUCGCGGUGGCGUUCGUCGGAAAUUGGGUUAUCUUAAAUCUUGGGUUUAGGCGACUUAAAAUUUUCUUUACGAUUCCUUAACCGUUUCCAGGAUUUUUUUCUUAACACGUUAAAGGA